CCCUGCAUGAAGGCGGCCUUGUUAGCUCA
rnacentral:tRNA from 1 species